rnacentral:lncRNA from 1 species
CAGUGGUCCAAGAUCUUUGUGAAACCUGCAGGCCACCCGUCUGACUUAGACAGCCACAAUGCCCACCAGUGUAUGAGAAGUUCUAAGAAACUCUGCAGAAAGGACACACGUUUAAUCGAAUUAGCUCCAGAAAGAAAGCAGUGUGAAAAAGAUGAAACACAGAUUUGAAAGCAAUCUUGAAGAUCAGACAGAAAACCAGCCUAUGAAUCAAAGAAGAAAAUCAAAAUCAGACUUCAUAACUGCUUCAGUAACCCUUGGCAACAGACAACACACUGGAUUUUGGCGAAUAACACUAAAAUUUUUGCUGGUGAGGUCUUCAGAAACUGGAUAGAUGUGAAACCACCAGAACAGAAGUGGAGCGGGCAUGGUAUCUGUUUCUUCAAUUUGUAGUUUUAUAGUCAAAAACUGGCAUGUAUAUACUUAAUUGGUAACAUGUAAGUCACGUGCCUCUAUCCCAACUCUAAGAGAGGUUGAGAACUUAAUUUCUGGCUUCUACCUUGGGAAGGAUCAGGCUUAUAAGCUGGAAAAUUAGCCAACAUACACAGGAUAUUCAAAGCUUCUAGGCAGUCAAAAUACUGUCAAGUGGUAAAACAGACAUGAAAAAACCUUUUUUUCUCUCCUAAAUUUAAAAAAAUAUAAUUUUUGUAAAACACUGUAUGUGGCUUUCCAUAAAAUUAAAAGAGUCUUGGGAGA